UGUUUAUUAGUUCAUAGAAAGAAAGAUAAAGGAAUUAGGAAUGGAGGAAUUAAACAAACAAAUAUAUAUUAUUUGAUAAAGGAAUUAAAUAAAUAUAUUUUUCUUUAAAAAAGAAAGAAAGAAAGAAAUCAAUUAGGCAUGGAGGAGUAACCUCCUCAUUCCACGUUCAGCAAAGGGAAACAAUCCCUAAAUUCCAUUCUCUCUCAUCUUCCCCAUCUCCGGUGGCAGCGGCGGCGUUUAGAGGCGGUGUUGCUGUUUUGAAAUUGGUCCAACUAACCAGACUCUCUUCUUCCCCAUUCUAUUUAUUCACGAUGCAAAGGGAAUCGAAUCCUUAACUUCUUCCUCCAUUUUUCUUCUCUGGCGGCGACGGAAGCACGGAACUGGUCAUCUCCUCUCGAUGGCUAUGGUGGUAUGGCUCGAAAUCAGCCGAGACCAAGAGAGGCGUUUGUUGAUAGUUGUGCUCUUGGACAUGGCAUAUUCAAUCUCAAAAGUCUCUCUCUUUGCCCUUAUGUGA